AGGUGCUUGCACCUCUGGCGUCGAGCGGCGGACGGGUGAGUAAUGCUUGGGAAUAUGCCUUAUGGUGGGGGACAACAGUUGGAAACGACUGCUAAUACCGCAUGAUGUCUACGGACCAAAGUGGGGGACCUUCGGGCCUCACGCCAUAAGAUUAGCCCAAGUGGGAUUAGCUAGUUGGUGAGGUAAUGGCUCACCAAGGCGACGAUCCCUAGCUGGUUUGAGAGGAUGAUCAGCCACACUGGGACUGAGACACGGCCCAGACUCCUACGGGAGGCAGCAGUGGGGAAUAUUGCACAAUGGGCGCAAGCCUGAUGCAGCCAUGCCGCGUGUGUGAAGAAGGCCUUCGGGUUGUAAAGCACUUUCAGUAAGGAGGAAAGGUUAAGUGUUAAUAGCAC
rnacentral:rRNA from 1 species